AUUGAACGCUGGCGGCAGGCCUAACACAUGCAAGUCGAGCGAGCGGCGGACGGGUGAGUAAUGUAUGGGAAUCUGCCUGAUGGAGGGGGAUAACUACUGGAAACGGUAGCUAAUACCGCAUACCAUCAGAUGUGCCAAUAUGGGAUUAGCUAGUAGGUGGGGGAACGGCUGACCUAGGCGACGAGCCCUAGCUGGUCUGAGAGGAUGACCAGGCACACUGGGACUGAGAAACGGCCCAGACGCCUACGGGAGGCAGCAGUGGGGAAUAUUGCACAAUGGGCGCAAGCCUGAUGCAGCCAGGCCGAGUGUAUGAAGAAGGCCGUCGGGUUGUAAAGUACUUUCAGUGGGGAGGCGUUACCGGCAGAAGAAGCACCGGCUAACUCCGUGCCAGCAGCCGCGGUAAUAC
rnacentral:rRNA from 1 species